rnacentral:rRNA from 1 species
GAUGAACGCUGGCGGCGUGCCUAAUACAUGCAAGUCGAGCGAACAGAUGAGGAACUUGCCCCUCUGACGUUAGCGGCGGACGGGUGAGUAACACGUGGAUAACCCACCUAUAAGACUGGGGUAAAUUCGGGAAACCGGAGCUAAUACCGGAUAAUAUAUUGAACCGCAUGGUUCAAUAGGGAAAGACGGUUUUGCUGUCACUUAUAGAUUGAUCCGCGCCGCAUUAGCUAGUUGGUAAGGUAACGGCUUACCAAGGCAACGAUGCGUAGCCGACCUGAGAGGGUGAUCGGCCAAACUGGAACGGAGACACGGUCCAGACUCCUACGGGAGGCAGCAGUAGGGAAUCUUCGGCAUUGGGCGAAAUCCUGACGGAGCAACGCCGCGUGAGUGAUGAAGGCCUUCGGAUCGUAAAACUCUGUUAUUAGGGAAGAACAAAUGUGUAAGAAACGAGGCACGUCUUGACGGUACCUAAUCAGAAAGCCACGGCUAACUACGUG